rnacentral:lncRNA from 1 species
AUACUGUAUAAAGCAAUAAUACUUUUUUGUGUGUUUUUAUGAUAGAAGUAUGAAUAUAUGCUUCCAGUUGUAUUUGAUUCUUAAAAAAUACCUCCUACUCGUUUUUGCCAUGUUGAAUGUUUUGUAUCAAAUUGGUGAGAAUUCCUUAUUUUUUGUUAAGUCUUGUUUUUAAUGUCAUGUUGCCUAUUGUUAAGAUUUUGUUACAAUGAUACAUUUGGUGAGAGUAACCAAUAGUGAUUAGGUCAUGUUGUUGCUAUUAUUGAUAAUUAUGUGAUUCUUGCUGGACCAUUUUCUGAUUUCAAUACAAAAGUACAAAACUAACAUUGAUUUUUUAACAAUCACAGAUUUGGAUACUUUUAAUUCAGAAUUAAUGCAUACUGAUCGAGAAAUCACCAGAAAUUUGUUAAUUUUCUGAAUUAUUUGACAUGAAUAAAUAUAAAUGAAACUUUAUGAUUUUUUUAGGAAAAUAUAAAAUAGGGACUAUUUUAAAUGAAAUAUUUGAUGAUCCUACAUUAAUUAAGCAAUUGUGCACACUUUAAAACUGUUUAUUUUUCGACCUUUCACACACAAACCUAUUGUUUCUAGCUGGUGAAAAGUUGUCUCAUCAGCAAGUAUACCACAUCUUCUUAUUUUCAUAUACAAAUGGAAGUUUUUAACGACCUUGACUGGCUAUACAGCCCUUGCACAGUCGGCCAAUACCGAACAGGCCUACAGCAAUUGGUUAACUACAUGGAUUAUUGAAUUUAUAAACUUUGUUCCUAGUCUUUUAAAUUAUUUUAUUGAUAUCAGAUUAUGGAUCCAGCAAUAUUUUAUUUAAGAUUUGUAUAUAUCUAAUAUAAACAUUUCCAUCAGAUUAUACAGGUGUCUGUGAAAUAUAGAAAUGUAGAGUGAUUGGUUUUAGUCUUAUAUCUUUAUCGAUAUUAUGUAUAUUUAUUCUAUGGAAGAAAAAUAUGAAAAAGAAAUAAAAAGAUGAAA